rnacentral:tRNA from 1 species
AUCGGUAUGGUGUAACGGCUAACAUUCGAGAUUCUCAUUCUCGGGCUCUGGGUUCGAUUCCCAGUACCGGUG